GCUCAUUACAACAGCUAUAAUGUAUAUGAAUUUACUGAUAAAUGGAUAUCUGUGGUAAAUCUAGAGCUAAUACAUGCAUAAAAACCUUUUUGUUUUAACAAAUUGGUUAAAUUAUCGUUUCAAAACUAACGGGUUCGCCCUGUUUUGUUAACUCAUGAUAAUUAAUGACCGUUCUUUAAUGAAUGGAUAUUCAUAUUUGGUAUCUGCCCUAUCAACUAUAUGACAGUCUAUUGUACGGUCAUGGUUGUGCCGGGUAACGGAGAAUUAGGGUUCGUCUCCGGAGAGAAUGCCUUAGAAACGGCUUUCACUUCCAAGGAAGGCAGCAGGCGCGAAAAUUACCCAUUCUCAGAACGAGGAGGUAGUGACGUGAAAUGACAAGCUUUAAUUCUUACGAAUUGAAGCAUUGGAAUGGUUGAAUUUUAAAAUCAUUCAAGAUUAUCAAUGAGAGGGCAAGUCUGGUGCCAGCAGCCGCGGUAAUUCCAGCUCUCAUACUACAUUGAACUGCUGUUGCGGUUAAAAAGUUCGUAGUUGCAAAUGUACAUAUAAAUGUGGUUUAUCAUUUUAUUAUGGUAUAACUGCAUUUUGUGUUAUUUAUAUUUUCUUUACGGAAAAUAUAAUGAUACCCUGAGUAAAGCAAAGUGCUCAGAACAAGCUAUUGCUUGUAUGUUUUUGCUGGGAAUAUCAAACGAAUACAUUAGUUGACGUUUGUUGGUUUAACAGCUAUGUAAUGAUUAAUAGGGAUAAACGGGGGCAAACGUAUCGCAGGGGGAGAGGUGAAAUUCGUUGAUCCUUGCGAGACGGCCUAUAGCGAAAGCAUUUGCCAAGAAUGUUUUCUUUAAUCAAGAAC
rnacentral:rRNA from 1 species